rnacentral:rRNA from 1 species
UACAGAGGGGGCAAGCGUUAUUCGGAAUUAUUGGGCGUAAAGAGCGUGUAGGCGGCCUGGUAGGUCAGCUGUGAAAACUCGAGGCUCAACCUCGAGACGCCGGUUGAAACCAUCAGGCUAGAGUCCGGAAGAGGAGAGUGGAAUUCCCGGUGUAGCGGUGAAAUGCGCAGAUAUCGGGAAGAACACCCGUGGCUAAGGCGGCUCUCUAGUACGGUACUGACGCUGAGACGCGAAAGCGUGGGGAGCGAACAGG